rnacentral:snRNA from 1 species
UUAGGUGUUGGCAGGGGAGAUACUGUGAUCAGGAAGGUGGUUUUCUAGGGGGAAGCUCACCCAUUGCACUCCGGAUGUGCUGACCCCUGCGAUUUCCCCAAAUGUGGGAAGCUCGACUGCAUAGUUUGUGGUAGUGGGGGACUGCGUUCUUGUUCUCCCCCU